rnacentral:rRNA from 1 species
UAUUCUUAGACAUAAAUAGAUUAAAACUAUUUACCGGAGUACUACGAAUAAGAAACAUUUAAAACUCAAAGAGCUUGGCGGUGCUUUAGACUUCUCAGGGGAACCUGUCUCGUAAUCGACAGUCCACGAAUCAACCUCACCUUUCUUUGCGAUCAGUAUGUAUACCGUCGUCGUCAGGUAACUUUUAAAAAUAAAGAAGUUAGCAAGAAAACUUUUUAGUUUUCACGUCAGAUCAAGGUGCAGCUUAUAGAAAGGAGAAGAUGGGUUACAAUUAAAAUUCAUAAUCACGGAUGUUAAUCUUAAUGGUUAAUCAUGAAGGCGGACUUGAAAGUAUGAAUUAGUAGCUAAAUGUUCUGAAUUCAGCUCUGAAGCGUGCACACACCGCCCGUCACCCUCA